AAUAAGUUAAUUAAGAGCGUAAGGUGGAUGCCUUGGCUCUCAGAGGCGAUGAAGGACGUGAUAAGCUGCGAUAAGCUACGGGGAUUGGCACACACAAUUUGAUCCGUAGAUUUCCGAAUGGGGAAACCCACUAUAUUGAAGAUAUAGUAUCCGUUAAGGAAGCAAACCCAGGGAACUGAAACAUCUAAGUACCUGGAGGAAUAGAAAACAAAAGUGAUUCCGCUAGUAGUGGCGAGCGAACGCGGAACAGCCCAAACCAAAAUUGUUUCGGCAAUUUUGGGGUUGUAGGACCACGAUAUUGAAUGUUUAAUGAAUUAGAA
rnacentral:rRNA from 1 species